AAAAUAAAUAAUAAGACCAGAAGUCUCACUCGAUGUCGGAAUCUUUGAUGUUGAUGUCCCCGCGCAUGUCGCCUCGCGCAUCUUGGCCGUGUCUCGUUACCAGUGCCCUAGACAAGUGUAAUUUGACAAAUUUACGUGUAAACAUUAAGGAGUGAGAAAGUUAAAACGAUACCAAUCGAGUUUUAGAGCUUUGGUGACCAUUUUAAAAGAAUAUAUGAUAAAUUCAAAGGUAAGUCUAUCGUAUUGCAUUGUCUUAAAUGAAUUCUCAGCUAAAAUACGGCAAUAAAUGGAUCAUAAACUUAGCUAAAUUUACUGUUGACAACGAGGUUGACAGAUCCAUUGCUUUUUUGCCUUGAAUAGCUUUACCAUAGUCAUUUUACCUUAAAAUGUAGCUACUGAGGAUAUCUCUAAGAGAUUUACAGAGAUUAUUUGCACAAUCUCACGAUUUAAUCAUGCUGAUAACAUGAAAAUCCUUGUGCCAUUCUAUACUUGGCAUAAUCUCUACAUCAAUAAAUUCACUAAUAUAAAUUCAAUAUAUUUUUGAACCAGUCCAUAUAUUAUUAUACACAAUGUAGUAUAGUUAAUUUGACCAUUGAGAAGUAAAGGUGUAUUUCAUUACACAGACACUGCUGAAUUUUAGGUUACAUGCCAUUGGAUUGAUAUAUGAUUGAUCUUGUUGAUAGAAUAGUUAUUUGCAGUAUACUAACUGUUGGCAUACUCUAUUUCAGGACUAUCAAUUGUUUUUGUCACUGGCAGUCUUUGAAAUACAAUCUUGCUCUGUGGCCUUUACUGACAAGUUGGCUUUUACUACAUAUGUGGCACUGACACUUCUUUAAUUAAUGCACCAGUCAAUGUAAACCCCCCAACCGGGGAGGGGCAGGGAUUUUGACUUGGAGGGGUAGUAAAAGAGCGAAAUUGUCCCCGCCCCCAGGGACAUCAAUGUCCCCUGCAUGUCUCUCAACCCCAGGAAAAUAGUUUUGUAUAAUCAUAGAUCAGCAAUAGAAAAUCAAAUUAAUUUAUGUUGUUGUAUUUAAACUUUUCUUGUCAAGAAAACUAAAACAGCAACACAGGAUAUAUAUGUUAAGGGACCGGUCAUUAAAUAUGGCAAGGGGGGGGGGAUGGAGGAGAAACUAGAAAUUUUGAAAAAAAUUUUGGGACCCCCCUCAAAAAUUAUAUGCCUUUUCAAGGCCCCCCUUAUGCAUUUUAUACUUUUUAAAGACCCCCCCCCCUCUUGUACCGCUUGAAAAUAUAGUUUUGUAUUGAUGGCUGGCCCGAUUAGGACAAACUUAGGAGAGCAAGUGAUCAAUGAAGAGUAUUAAAAGAGGUAUAAAAUUUGAUGAAACUAGUUAAAUAAAUAUUUUACAAUCUAUUUAGGUAGGUUACUCUAUUGCCUAUGCUUGUCUCGCCUACAUCCACUGAACACUAUAUACGUACUCAAUAUCAAGUAUAAUAUCAAGUUAAUUAAUGAGCUAUAAUACUAAUGAUUGAUAAACAUUUGAAUAAUUCUAUUUUAUAUUAUGUUUUUUAUGCUUUACUCGUUAUGUUAAUACCCAGUGUUCCAGUUUAAAGGGCAUUUUAUGCAUCUCUUGGCUGUUCAUUGUAUAUAACGAGAAACAAUCCUUUUGUUGGGAAAAAUCUGAAGACCCCCUCUUUCACAUAAUGUAAUUUUCAAGACCCCCCCCCCCAUCUCAAUGAAAAAAUAAUUCAGGACCCCCAUACUUUCUCCUCCAUCCCCCCCUUGCCAUAUUUAAUGACCGGUCCCUAACCACCGUCCAAGUCUCCCAUCAUCGGGGACAAAUUUAUAAUCAAAACUGACCACUUUCCCCGCUAAACCUCCCGCCCCUCCCCGGUUGGGGGCAGGGAUUUACAUUGACUGGUGCAUAACUAGAUGAUUGUAUGAAGCAUUGCAUGGAAGUUGAUUUAUAAUUAGUUUAUGAAUAAACUCACACUUUCAUUAUAAUGGUUGAUCGAAUAUAUCAAAUGCAUUUGAUUGGUUGAUGGUCCCUUAAUGGUAAUGGUAGUCAAAUCUGAACCUAUAUAAUGUCAAUAUACUGGAAAAGUAUCAAAUUAAAUUUUAAUUGUCAAUGUUGUGGAAAGUAAAUAAAUCAAACAAUUCUGUUUGUUUCAACUAACUAGUUCACUAUCACUUUGGUUUUCAAAUCAAAGAAUCUUUAGCCU